CUGGCUGUAAACGAUGGACACUAGGUGUGGGAAGUUAUCGACGCUUUCUGUGCCGAAGCUAACGCAUUAAGUGUCCCGCCUGGGGAGUACGGCCGCAAGGCUAAAACUCAAAGGAAUUGACGGGGCCCCGCACAAGCGGCGGAGCAUGUGGCUUAAUUCGACGCAACGCGAAGAACCUUACCAAGGCUUGACAUCAUAUUGAAAGUUGUAGAAAUACAACCCCUCUUCGGAGCAAUAUGACAGGUGG
rnacentral:rRNA from 1 species